rnacentral:rRNA from 1 species
CCUACGGGAGGCUGCAGUGAGGAAUAUUGGUCAAUGGACGAGAGUCUGAACCAGCCAAGUAGCGUGAAGGAUGACUGCCCUAUGGGUUGUAAACUUCUUUUAUAUGGGAAUAAAACGUUCCACGUGUGGGAUUUUGUAUGUACCAUAUGAAUAAGGAUCGGCUAACUCCGUGCCAGCAGCCGCGGUAAUACGGAGGAUCCGAGCGUUAUCCGGAUUUAUUGGGUUUAAAGGGGGCGUAGGUGGAUUGUUAAGUCAGUUGUGAAAGUUUGCGGCUCAACCGUAAAAUUGCAGUUGAAACUGGCAGUCUUGAGUACAGUAGAGGUGGGCGGAAUUCGUGGUGUAGCGGUGAAAUGCUUAGAUAUCACGAAGAACUCCGAUUGCGAAGGCAGUUCACUGGACUGCAACUGACACUGAGGCUCGAAAGUGUGGGUAUCAAACAGGAUUAGAUACCCUUGUAGUC